AUGCGGCCCGUAUCUGUGUAACCGAACGCGCGAAGUUUUCUGAAGUGAAGUGGCGGCAGCCCGCAGCGGUAACGUUAUUCCUCAUAAACUUCAGUAAGCGUUGAGUAUUACAACACCUGAGAGACAGCGCUUGAGCUAAUGACCAAUCAGAAGUUUAACAACAGAGUCCAGACAGACCUACGAUGGACGAGGAAUCACUUAUACUGCGUUCUGGAGUCAGACGGAGGGUUUGCAUUGCACUUGGAAAACAACAACUUGAACUUUCAAAAGACUCAGAACCAACUAACGCCAACAAAGUUUACACAUUUUCCAUCACCAAUGAAGCAACAAUGAUGGUUGACGUAAGCACUUUGAGUGUUUUGGAGCUGAGGAGGCCAACACCUGUAUUAACAUCCAUUCUUCAAACUAGUAAGUCCAUCAGGGUCAUAGUAUUGACAGGGACAGUAGAGAUGUCCAGACCUCUAGCUGCACUUUUCUGUAUAUG